rnacentral:rRNA from 1 species
AGAGUUUGAUCCUGGCUCAGGAUGAACGCUAGCUACAGGCUUAACACAUGCAAGUCGUGGGGCAUCAUGAUGUAGUAAUACAUUGAUGGCGACCGGCGCACGGGUGAGUAACGCGUAUCCAACCUACCCUCCACUCAAGUAUAGGCUUCCGAAAGGGAGAUUAAUCCUUGAUAUCGUCAUUCUCUCUCCUGUUAGAAUGAUAAAAGGACAUCGUUUCGGUAGAGGAUGGGGAUGCGUUCCAUUAGGUAGUAGGUGGUUUAACAGGCCACCUAGCCGAUGAUGGAUAGGGGUUCUGAGAGGAAUAUCCCCCACACUGGUACUGAGAUACGGACCAGACUCCUACGGGAGGCAGCAGUGAGGAAUAUUGGUCAAUGGGCGCAAGCCUGAACCAGCCAUGUAGCGUGAAGGAUGACGGUUUUUUUGAUUGUAAACUUCUUUUCUGUGCGAUUAAAGUGUGGCAUUUAUGCCAUAUUGCAGUUAUCUCAGGAAUAAGCAUCGGCUAACUCCGUGCCAGCAGCCGCGGUAAUACGGAGGAUGCGAGCGUUAUCCGGAUUUAUUGGGUUUAAAGGGAGCGUAGAUGGUUUUUUAAGUCAGCUGUCAAAUGUAUGGGCUCAACCCUUAUUAUCAGUUGAAACUGUAAGACUUGAGUGCGGUGUGGGUACAUGGAAUUCGUGGUGUAGCGGUGAAAUGCAUAGAUAUCACGAAGAACUCCGAAAGCGUAGGCAUUGUACCAUAGCGCCACUGACAUUGAUGCUCGAAGGUGCGGGAAUCAAACAGGAUUAGAUACCCUGGUAGUCCGCACAGUAAACGAUGAAUGCUCGACGUUGUCGAUAUACUGUCAGCGUCCAAGCGAAAGCGUUAAGCAUUCCACCUGGGGAGUACGCCGGCAACGGUGAAACUCAAAGGAAUUGACGGGGGCCCGCACAAGCGGAGGAACAUGUGGUUUAAUUCGAUGAUACGCGCGGAACCUUACCCGGGCUUGAAUUGUACCUGUAGGUGUUUGAAAGAUCAUCGUCUUGUAAAGAGCAGGUAUGAAGGUGCUGCAUGGUUGUCGUCAGCUCGUGCCGUGAGGUGUCGGCUCAAGUGCCAUAACGAGCGCAACCCUUUCCAUCAGUUACAAACGAAAUUAGUCGUGUACUCUGUUGGUACUGCCAUCGUAAGAUGUGAGGAAGGUGGGGAUGACGUCAAAUCAGCACGGCCCUUACGUUCGGGGCUACACACGUGUUACAAUGGGGGGUACAGUGGGUCGCUAUCCGGCGACGGAGUGCCAAUCCUCAAAACCCCUCCCAGUUCGGACUGGAGUCUGCAACCCGACUCCACGAAGCUGGAUUCGCUAGUAAUCGCGCAUCAGCCAUGGCGCGGUGAAUACGUUCCCGGGCCUUGUACACACCGCCCGUCAAGCCAUGAAAGCCGGGGGUACCUGAAGCACGUUAUCGCAAGUAUCGUUCCAGGGUAAAUCUGGUGAUUGGGGCUAAGUCGUAACAAGGUAGCCGUACCGGAAGGUGCGGCUG